GUUCAAGCUUGGAAAUGAGUCUUUUAAGUAUAAAUUGGAAAUCUUGAUGCAAACCAUGGAGUACAAUAGGGUGGAACUCACUCAGGGAGCUCCAGCUGAGAGGAAUGUGUAACUUAGUACAACAGUACCAGUACCUCAGGAGGAAGAAAAAGGAGACCACCACCAACACCCACCAUGGUGAAUACUUACAGGCAAAGCCCAUCAUUUCCAAGAGAGUGGAUCUGUUUGCUGCCAACACAGCCUCCAGAUAGAGCUGCA
rnacentral:lncRNA from 1 species